rnacentral:lncRNA from 1 species
AAACGGCGCCGAAAGGCGGGGGACGAGCGGACGGCGCGGAGGAAGGUGUGGCAUGUGAAGGCGGCGCGGGCGAGGUUCGGGAGGUCGGUGAGGCGGGCGAAGAUCUCGCGGAGCAGGUCGUCGCCGAGGGCGCAUAUGGUGGUUCGACCGGGUAGCGGGGGUCUCGCCGGCGGCGGCGAUGGUGGCGAGGACAUGGCUGGUUCGAAUGGGAGCUCUUUUUUUUUCAGACGAGAAAUGGGGGCCUUAGGGUUGGGAAGAGCACAAUAACUAUGGG